CAUUAUAAAAAUUAGUCGAAUGUUACAAGAGAAUUAGAAAACACGUGGUACUUUAUAUGCAUAAAUUUGAUGGGAUUCUACUUGAAAUUACUUAGAAUACCGAUAGUUGAAAAUAUUCUGGUAGCCGAACAUUACACGUCAAGUAUUACAGCUAACAUUUUUUAGUUAUGUAGUCAAGUAUCUGUGUAAGAAAGUUGAAUUUACUUCAAUCAGCUUGUUGUGCUUAUGACAAUACAAAGCAGUUACGAUUCGACAAUCGGUCCUUUGAUGUAGGCACUGUAUAUAUGAUUACACACAAGUGUUUCACAGAUAAGUAAAUGUUUAUUUCGAAAGUAAAACUUCUUAUCUCGAACAAAGAACCGAAGUGAUAUUCUGAUAACUUAAUUUAUUUUGAAUAGUUUCCAAACUGUCAGUGUAAUAAUAAUUGUAAAUUAUAUAACAUGCACACGAAUGAAGUCUUAGACUGUUUUUAACAAAAAUAAGUAAAAUUCCAAUUUUAAGAGAAGAAAGGAUAAUGAUUAAGAUAAUGUUUGCAAUGCAUUUUUAUCAGUUUAAUUUAAGAAAACACAAUUGUAUUGUUGCCUUCAUUUUAAAAGUGACCAAAAGUUCGUUUGUAGUUUUAGAAAAAAUCAAGUUUUAUGUAAAUUUUAAUUAUACUAACCAUUUAAAAUCAGGACCGGAGUUAGAAAUGCGCAACUCUGGAUCCGUACUCUAGUUAUAUAAGAGAAGCUUUAAAAAUGUACUUUUUCAUUCUUUACCUCAUUCUUGAUAUUAAUGACUCUUAUUUUUAUCAAUAAUAAACAAAAAAAAACAUCAAUUAUAUUUUUUGUUCUAGUGGACAAAAUGUAUAACCCUUGUUAUUUUACGAGAUAUUACU